rnacentral:rRNA from 1 species
GUGGGGAAUAUUCCGCAAUGGGCGCAAGCCUGACGGAGCAACGCCGCGUGAAUGAAGACGGUCUUCGGAUUGUAAAGUUCUGUCAUUAGGGACGAAGGACUCAUGUAAAUAAUAUGAGGAAUGACGGUACCUAAGGAGGAAGCUCCGGCUAACUACGUGCCAGCAGCCGCGGUAAUACGUAGGGAGCAAGCGUUGUCCGGAAUUACUGGGCGUAAAGGGCGCGUAGGCGGAUAAUUAAGUCAGAUGUGAAAUCUCCAGGCUUAACUUGGAGCGUGCAUUUGAAACUGGUUAUCUUGAGGGCAGGAGAGGAAAGUGGAAUUCCUAGUGUAGCGGUGAAAUGCGUAGAUAUUAGGAGGAACACCAGUGGCGAAGGCGACUUUCUGGACUGAACCUGACGCUGAGGCGCGAAAGCAUGGGGAGCGAACGGGAUUAGAUACCCGAGUAGUCC